UGCUCUGUGUGAAACAUUCCCAACCACACAUGUCUUAAUUUUAUAAAUCCACUUACUCCCUAUGGCAUGCUUACCUGAUGGUAACCUGGCAUUUUCAUAUACCUCCAAACUUUGUAAAUAUUUCUGUUCCUUAUCCAUUGCUUCCUGCCAAGCAGCCUAAUCCUUAGCAGGAUACAGUUUCAGUUCAUUAUAGUUACUAGGAACUGUAUUUACUUGGCAUACAAUACUUGCCUGAUAUCUGUCUGGUGGUCAUGUUACA